AUGAUGAUAAAAAAACACAGGUUUUCACUCACUCCCAUUCUUUUGUUGUUCRGCCAAGUAACAGAAAAGAUGAGUUUGUUAUCCAGAGAAUCUGUUAGAGGAAUUGAUUGGGUUGCAUGUGAUAAGCCCUCCAGCACUAGUUUGCCAGCAUUUUGUACAUGGCAUGCAUGUCUGAGUGAUCUUGUAACCCUUCCACUAUUAAGUCACUUUUAUUUUGGCAUCUUUUACUGUGUGCACAGACUCUGCAAGAAGAAUGAUAAACCGCUUUACGAGUACAUGCAGUUAUUUACCGAGUAGUGUACACAGCAGAUAGCUAUGAUCAAAAAAUGAGUAGGCUAAAAAUUAAUAAGUUCUUCAGCUCCAUGCUGGCAACAAGUGAGGUUCUCCUUGCCAGAGAGUUGUCAGUCAAGCUGAGAAAUGCAGGCUCUGUUGCCCCUUGGGACAGGCUGAUCCUUGAUCUUGCUCAGCCACAGACGUUGGGACUGCAGGUUGUUCUAAGGAUGGGCUUUCGGAGCCAUGAUGCUCGGGUUGGAGCACUGUGGUUCACGGAACAGAAGCUGAGACAGGGCUGAGAUCUGACCUCAGCUUAUGCCACCCAUUCUCUGAAAAAAAAUAGCUCUACUAUUCUACCUAUUUCUUCCAAGAUCUGAGAGAAAGGGUAAACGUUUGAUUCAAUCUGAUAUUGUUCCCAAUGUCUUUUAGAAAAAAAUAGUGACAUUAGUGAUUGCACUUGUCUUUUUGAAUGUUUAACUGAUAUACAAUCUCAAGCUAAGUUUUCUGUCAGAUGGAUUUACUCCUAUCUCAAACCAAGGCUCAAGACCUUGAAAAAAUACCUGUAUGAGAACCUACCAGGAAGCUUCACCUGUCUCAUCGAUAGCCUGGUUAAGUUUUCCUGGAAAAAAGAAGGAACUCUAAAUCAGACUGUGAUGAAAUAUAAAUAGUCUUCCCUCUCAUUAAGAAGAGUGUUGAGAGGAUAUAUAUAAUGCAACAAYGUUUAUGAAAGUAGACCUCCAAUUCAGUCUAUCCCUAUGAAGAUGAUAAAUGCAAAAUUAUUUUCCACACCCCAUACAGAUGCUUUGAGAAUCAUGCCUUUCAUCCUGUCCAGUGCUCUACACACCUUCUAGCUGGAUUUGGACCAUUUUCAGAAAUAGUCUGGACCUGUCUGUGGUUACUCGUCUUGUGAUAUUCUUUUUCUUUCUUUCUUUUUUUUCUUUUCUUUUUUUUUUUUUUUUGAAACCUAACUUUCAUAUACAUGUCCAGAGUGGUGGUGGCAUUAGAUGAAUGAGAGAAAAUGGCCUCUAGGUAUGAUCAAUAAAUGCAAGUUUGAAUAACA
rnacentral:lncRNA from 1 species